GGGCGAGUGGCGGAACUGGCAGACGCGUAAGAUUUAGGAUCUUAUGCCCAAAGGCGUGGAGGUUCGACUCCUCUCUCGCCCA
rnacentral:tRNA from 1 species